UACGUAGGGGGCAAGCGUUAUCCGGAUUUACUGGGUGUAAAGGGAGCGUAGACGGUAUGGCAAGUCUGAUUUGAAAACCCGGGGCUCAACUCCGGGAUUGCAUUGGAAACUGUUAAACUGGAGUGCAUGAGAGGUAAGUGGAAUUCCUAGUGUUGCGGUGAAAUGCGUAGAUAUUAGGAGGAACACCGGCGGCGAAGGCGGCUUACUGGACUGUAACUGACGUUGAGGCUCGGAAGCGUGGGGAGCAAAC
rnacentral:rRNA from 1 species